AAGAAUUAAAUGGAUGAAAUAUGAAGUUUUAUUAAAAGAAAAAUGGGUGAAAAGAACAAAGUUUUGUCCAUCUUUGUUCAUCAUAGCUGAAAGUUAGAGAAGAGAAAGGAGAGGAGAAAGCUCUUGAGUAUUCGGUCAUUAGGAGGAGGAAAAUUGAAGGCGGUUCGUGUGUGGAUCUCGUCAGCAUAUCGUCGCAAAUAGGAAAUCCCCAACCAUAGUGGGCUUGGAGCUGUGAGGGAAUUCGGAGUGGCCACCCGUUCUGAAAGUUUGAUUUUCUUCUAAUGAACUGGACAUCCUUUUAUUUCCGUUUGAAGUUUUGGGUUUUUAAAUGUAAUAAGGCCGCUUAUUUAUUUUUGAUGGUUUUUAUAUGUUUAUUAAGAUAGAUAAUAUUUAUUUUAACUGUUGAAAUUGGAUA